ensembl:lncRNA
AGAAAAGAGACCGAGUCGGUAUGUCAGUCUCUGCACUUGUUAUGUGCGGGUACAGCUCGCUCUGUAAGGAGUCUUCUUGCACUUUUCCACUCAUGACUUUAGUCCCGUGAUCUGCCUUCGUCUUAAUCACACCUGUUCAAGUCUCUGUGUGUGAUGAGGAAGAAGCUCUGGAUCCCCACAGACUGUGAAUAAGAUGUCAGUGUGGAUUUCAUGCCUUUCCUCGUGGCCUCACUGUGGACUCUGAUCGUCUACCUGAGUUCAGUUAAAGGAUCAUUUGUAGUGGAUGUGACACAGAGCUCCUAUCAGGCAGAGGAGAACCACAACAUCACACUGGAGUGGACGUUCACCACCAAACCAGACACGCCCAUCUCAGCACUGGAGAUCCUCUGUUACCUGAAUAAUGGCCACAAAGAAUUGACUCUUUAUUACCUACAUGAUGGUGUCGAGUUCUCAGAGGUUCAGGAUGAGAAGUUUUCAAGACGAGUCCAGAGUGACAAAGACGCCCUCAGAGAAGGACGAAUCAGACUCCAGCUGUCCAGACUCAGGACUGAGGACUCGGGUCUGUACCUGUGUGAGGUGGACACAGGUUAUGGCCACGGCUACAGCAGCUGCAGAGUCACCGUCUCUGAUACAGAUUUUGCUAAAACCUCAACAACAGAGACGUCACUGCAAAAUCCAGCUCCUCAGAAAAAGACUCCAACAAACGCAGGUCGAUCCAGGGUCCUUGUGGUCAUUGUUGUCAUCACCGUACCAUUAGUUUUGGCUCUCGCUGGUUUUGCUGCAUAUUUCUUUCACCACAUUUUGCAGAAACUUAAACAGAAGCAUACAGAGGAUGAUGAGACACAAAAACAACCACUAACAGUCUAGCUGCUUUGCUAAAGGAGCGUUGGUCUUAAUGGAGCUGAGAGAGAUUUAUUUUUCCUGGACCUUCACAUUUAUGUUGGAUUCAAACCAUCAACCACAGGGAGACACUCGGGCCCAGCAUCACUGAGAUCAUCAUAAGGUCACGCCUACAAAAGGAUGUGAGCCUGAUUUGAACUUUGACCUCAGCUGAAGACUCGAGCCUCGUCCAGUUAAUUUAUCGAGCUCAUUUUCACACAAAGUGUCAUAAAAGAAAACCCAGAGUGGAAGAUCAGAGGAUGUAAACAGGAAAUAUUUCUUACAGAAGUCUUCAGUCAGAGUGGCUGCUGUCAGACUCUGGAGGAUCUGCUUGGAAACAUCAAGCAGUGAAACUGAUGGAUUUCCUCCUUCAGUACAAAACUGUGAAGUUCAGCCUGGAGAAGAAACACUCCUCUGCCUCACUGUCAGCGUGUUUAAUGAAUUUACUUACUGGUUGUUUGUUUGUUUGUUUGUUUGUUUAAGGUGAACUUAAAUCUUUCAGUAAGACCUCAAAGUGUCUCUGAUGGACAAAUUAAAGGGUUAAAAUCCUCCCUGAUCAUCACUGUGCUGGACUGACAUGGAUCAUUCCCAAACAGUCUUUUCCAUUCCAUCUGCAUUCAUUACAGAUGAAAGUGGAUAUUUUCAACACAGUUCAUGUGGAAAGAUGGGGGGAGUGGCCUGAAAAUUGUGUUGGUGACACAGGAGACUGGAAAAGCACCAACAAGUUUUAAAGUAACAGAAACAGGAUUCAUGGAGCUCAUAAGGAGAACUCCUUUGUUUUACUGACUUCACUGUAUGAAAGCAGACUUUGUUACCACAGCUAUGAGCUCUGAUUGUUUUUGUUUUCUUUCUAUCAUCUUUACUGUCUCAGAGAACCUGAGCUAUAAGCUGAUUACUUUAAACACCCUUCGUUAAUCAUCUGCUGCACUUUAUAAACAUCCAAAACAAGGUGAUUUACAUUUUACAUCUCUGGAUUUUUAAAGCUACAAAUAAUUCAUUAAGUUUAAUGUUAAACUUCCUGCUGGUCAGGACUCGAUGUUCAGUCUGUAAAGUUCAGUCUGAUUUGUGAUCGUGUUUUCAGUUUAGUGCUGAGAGUUACGAGUGUAAAAGUGUUCCAACGGUUUUAUUUGUUAAUUUUUAUUAAAUCUUUGGCUCAUUUUUUAAGUCUUGAAGUUUUACAUUUACAGUGUCUUCACUGUGUUGCUGAACAAACAGGAACUUUAAUGAUCCAUAUUCAUUAUGUGUCACUGUAAUUAAGUAGAGAUGUGUUUUACUACCGAAUGUAAGAUAGAAGAUGUAAGAAAUUAUAAAAUGAAAUGAGAGUUGAUAAAAGCUUCACUUGUUUUACUGGAGAUAAAAUUUUGAUGUUCACCUUAAUUUUGACUCAUCUUUUCAGUGCAAUACCAGAG